UACGUAGGUCCCGAGCGUUGUCCGGAUUUAUUGGGCGUAAAGCGAGCGCAGGCGGUUUGAUAAGUCUGAAGUUAAAGGCUGUGGCUCAACCAUAGUUCGCUUUGGAAACUGUCAAACUUGAGUGCAGAAGGGGAGAGUGGAAUUCCAUGUGCAGCGGUGAAAUGCGUAGAUAUAUGGAGGAACACCGGUGGCGAAAGCGGCUCUCUGGUCUGUAACUGACGCUGAGGCUCGAAAGCGUGGGGAGCGAACAGGAUUAGAUACCCUGGUAGUCCACGCCGUAAACGGUGGGUACUAGGUGUGGGUUUCCUUCCUUGGGAUCCGUGCCGUAGCUAACGCAUUAAGUACCCCGCCUGGGGAGUACGGCCGCAAGGCUAAAACUC
rnacentral:rRNA from 1 species